rnacentral:rRNA from 2 species
CGAGCGGAUCUUCAUUAGCUUGCUGUGGAGAUAGCGGCGGAGGGUGAGUAACACGUGGGCAACCUGCCUGUAGACUGGGAUAAUUUCAAGAAACCGGAGCUAAUACCGGAUAAUCCUUUCCCUCUCAUGAGGGAAAGCUGAAAGACGGUUUCGGCUGUUAUUUACAGAUGGGCCCGCGGCGCAUUAGCUAGUUGGUGAGGUAACGGCUCACCAAGGCGACGAUGCGUAGCCGACCUGAGAGGGUGAUCGGCCACACUGGGACUGAGACACGGCCCAGACUCCUACGGGAGGCAGCAGUAGGGAAUCUUCCGCAAUGGACGAAAGUCUGACGGAGCAACGCCGCGUGAACGAUGAAGGCUUUCGGGUCGUAAAGUUCUGUUGUCAGGGAAGAACAAGUACCGGAGUAACUGCCGGUACCUUGACGGUACCUGACCAGAAAGCCACGGCUAACUACGUGCCAGCAGCCGCGGUAAUACGUAGGUGGCAAGCGUUGUCCGGAAUUAUUGGGCGUAAAGCGCGCGCAGGCGGUUCCUUAAGUCUGAUGUGAAAGCCCCCGGCUCAACCGGGGAGGGUCAUUGGAAACUGGGGGAACUUGAGUGCAGAAGAGGAGAGCGGAAUUCCCCGUGUAGCGGU